UACAGAGGGGGCAAGCGUUGUUCGGAAUUACUGGGCGUAAAGGGCGCGUAGGCGGCCCGCUAAGUCGAACGUGAAAUCCCCGAGCUCAACUCGGGAACUGCGUCCGAUACUGGCGGGCUUGAAUCCGGGAGAGGGAUGCGGAAUUCCAGGUGUAGCGGUGAAAUGCGUAGAUAUCUGGAGGAACACCGGUGGCGAAGGCGGCAUCCUGGACCGGCAUUGACGCUGAGGCGCGAAAGCUAGGGGGAGCAAACGGGG
rnacentral:rRNA from 1 species